rnacentral:misc_RNA from 1 species
UUACCCCAACUCAAUGACAAGUAUAUAUUUGCCAAAAAAAAAAUUGACAAGUAUAUUGCCUUUAUAAAGGAAGCCUUAUCCCUUCGUAUGCAAGUGAGGUGAGCACAGACAGAUGAAGCAAUUGUUAGAUAUUCGGGAAAAUUACAGGCAACCAUAUUUGUCCUUUUCUGCAAAUUCACGUGAAUUUCAGGCUUGGCAAAUGCGUUCUACUACCCCUAGGGGUUGUAGAGCCUGAG